rnacentral:tRNA from 1 species
AUUUUUGUGGUGUAAAAAACACAUUACAUUUUCAAUGUAAAAAUAAGAAUUUAUUCUUCAAAAAUA